rnacentral:rRNA from 1 species
UUGGAGGGCAAGUCUGGUGCCAGCAGCCGCGGUAAUUCCAGCUCCAAUAGCGUAUAUUAAAGUUGUUGCAGUUAAAAAGCUCGUAGUUGAAUUUCGGGAUCAAUAUGUCGGUCGUGCCUCGGUACGUACUGGCAUCAUUGGUUUCUCCCUUCUGAUGAACCAUGAUGCCAUUAAUUUGGUGUCGUGGGGAAUCAGGACUGUUACUUUGAAAAAAUUAGAGUGUUUAAAGCAGGCUCACGCUUGAAUACAUUAGCAUGGAAUAAUGAAAUAGGACGUUUGAUUCUAUUUUGUUGGUUUCUAGGAUCGACGUAAUGAUUAAUAGGGAUAGUUGGGGGCAUUAGUAUUCAAUUGUCAGAGGUGAAAUUCUUGGAUUUAUUGAAGACUAACUACUGCGAAAGCAUUUGCCAAGGAUGUUUUCAUUAAUCAAGAACGAAAGUUAGGGGAUCGAAGACGAUCAGAUACCGUCGUAGUCUUAACCAUAAACUAUGCCGACUAGGGAUCGGAUGAUGUUAAUUUUUUAAUGACUCAUUCGGCGCCUUACGGGAAAC